rnacentral:misc_RNA from 1 species
GAUGAAGAACGUAGCGAAAUGCGAUAAGUAAUGUGAAUUGCAGAAUUCAGUGAAUCAUCGAAUCUUUGAACGCACCUUGCGCCCUUUGGUUAUUCCGAAGGGCAUGCCUGUUCGAGCGUCAUUUCAACCCUCGGGCCCCGCAUUCGUGCGGGCCCCGGCGUUGGGGACCGGCCUCCGCAUCGGACGGCCGCCCCCGAAACCCAGUGGCGGUCCCGCCGCGGCCUUCUCUGCGUAGUAGCAUACACCUCGCACUGGAGAGCGGCGCGGCCACGCCGUAAAAGAAACGAACUUUCUGAAGGUUGACCUCGGAUCAGGUAGGAAUACCCGCUGAACUUAAGCAUAUCAAUAAGCGGAGGA